CCUACGGGAGGCAGCAGUGGGGAAUUUUGGACAAUGGGGGCAACCCUGAUCCAGCCAUUCCGCGUGAGUGAAGAAGGCCUUCGGGUUGUAAAGCUCUUUCGCAAGGGAAGAAAACUUAUGAUCGAAUAAAUCAUGAGGUUGACGGUACCUUGAUAAGAAGCACCGGCUAACUACGUGCCAGCAGCCGCGGUAAUACGUAGGGUGCGAGCGUUAAUCGGAAUUACUGGGCGUAAAGCGUGCGCAGGCGGUUUUGUAAGUCGGAUGUGAAAUCCCCGGGCUCAACCUGGGAACUGCGUUCGAAACUGCAAGGCUAGAGUGUGUCAGAGGGGGGUAGAAUUCCACGUGCAGCAGUGAAAUGCGUAGAGAUGUGGAGGAAUACCAAUGGCGAAGGCAGCCCCCUGGGAUAACGCUGACGCUCAUGCACGAAAGCGUGGGGAGCAAACAGGAUUAGAUACCCUGGUAGUCCACGCCCUAAACGAUGUCAACUAGUUGUUGGUAGAGUAAAAUCUAUGAGUAACGUAGCUAACGCGUGAAGUUGACCGCCUGGGGAGUACGGUCGCAAGAUUAAAACUCAAAUGAAUUGACGG
rnacentral:rRNA from 1 species